rnacentral:antisense_RNA from 1 species
CGCGAUAGUGAGGGGGAUUUUUGGUGUGGCUAUAGUCGCCUAUUUUUUCUUAUCAUUGCGGUUGCGUAGCCAAUGCGCAAAUAAAGCAACGAUACAAC